rnacentral:sRNA from 1 species
UAACUAAACGAAAUAAAUUAGGGUUGUA